UUAAACAAUUUCCACAGGGCACACAGUCCUUUCCCAAUGCCAAGGCCAGGGCCUUCUGAUUACACUGGCCUGUCUUACUCGAGUAUAUGACUCCUCCUCUCAUGGUGGGAGGGCUGGAAAUCUUUUGUGGUUUUGGAUGGACUCGCGGCCUAUCAGCUUGUUGGUGAGGUAAUGGCUCACCAAGGCGACGACGGGUACCCGGCCUGAGAGGGUGACCGGCCACACUGGGACUGAGACACGGCCCAGACUCCUACGGGAGGCAGCAGUGGGGAAUAUUGCACAAUGGGCGGAAGCCUGAUGCAGCGACGCCGCGUGAGGGAUGACGGCCUUCGGGUUGUAAACCUCUUUCAGUAGGGAAGAAGCGAAAGUGACGGUACCUGCAGAAGAAGCGCCGGCUAACUACGUGCCAGCAGCCGCGGUAAUACGUAGGGCGCAAGCGUUAUCCGGAAUUAUUGGGCGUAAAGAGCUCGUAGGCGGUUUGUCGCGUCUGCCGAGAAAGUCCGGGGCUCAACUCCGGAUCUGCGGUGGGUACGGGCAGAACUAGAGUGAUGUAGGGGAGACUGGAAUUCCUGGUGUACCGGUGAAUGCGCAGAUUUCGAGGAGAACCCCGAUGGCGAGGCAGGUCUCUGGGCAUAACUGAACCCUGAAGAGCGAAAACCUUGGGAGCCAAACAGGAAUAAAUACCCCUGGAAACCCUUGCCAAACC
rnacentral:rRNA from 1 species